CCUACGGGAGGCAGCAGUGAGGAAUAUUGGUCAAUGGGCGCGAGCCUGAACCAGCCAAGUAGCGUGAAGGAUGACUGCCCUACGGGUUGUAAACUUCUUUUAUAAAGGAAUAAAGUGAGGCACGUGUGCCUUUUUGUAUGUACUUUAUGAAUAAGGAUCGGCUAACUCCGUGCCAGCAGCCGCGGUAAUACGUAGGUGGCAAGCGUUAUCCGGAUUUACUGGGUGUAAAGGGCGUAGAUGGGUUGUUAAGUCAGUUGUGAAAGUUUGCGGCUCAACCGUAAAAUUGCAAUUGAUACUGGCAGUCUUGAGUACAGUUGAGGUAGGCGGAAUUCGUGGUGUAGCGGUGAAAUGCUUAGAUAUCACGAAGAACCCCGAUUGCGAAGGCAGCUUACUAAACUGUGACUGACAUUGAUGCUCGAAAGUGUGGGUAUCAAACAGGAUUAGAUACCCUUGUAGUC
rnacentral:rRNA from 1 species